GGCAUCUUGCGGGGUGCUAUACAUGCAAGUCGUGCGGACCUUUUAAAAGCUUGCUUUUAAAAGGUUAGCGGCGGACGGGUGAGUAACACGUGGGCAACCUGCCUGUAAGAUCGGGAUAACGCCGGGAAACCGGGGCUAAUACCGGAUAGUUUUUUCCUCCGCAUGGAGGAAAAAGGAAAGACGGCUUUUGCUGUCACUUACAGAUGGGCCCGCGGCGCAUUAGCUAGUUGGUGGGGUAACGGCUCACCAAGGCAACGAUGCGUAGCCGACCUGAGAGGGUGAUCGGCCACAUUGGGACUGAGACACGGCCCAAACUCCUACGGGAGGCAGCAGUAGGGAAUCUUCCGCAAUGGACGAAAGUCUGACGGAGCAACGCCGCGUGAGUGAAGAAGGCCUUCGGGUCGUAAAACUCUGUUGCCGGGGAAGAACAAGUGCCGUUCGAACAGGGCGGCGCCUUGACGGUACCCGGCCAGAAAGCCACGGCUAACUACGUGCCAGCAGCCGCGGUAAUACGUAGGUGGCAAGCGUUGUCCGGAAUUAUUGGGCGUAAAGCGCGCGCAGGCGGCUUCUUAAGUCUGAUGUGAAAUCUUGCGGCUCAACCGCAAGCGGUCAUUGGAAACUGGGAGGCUUGAGUGCAGAAGAGGAGAGUGGAAUUCCACGUGUAGCGGUGAAAUGCGUAGAGAUGUGGAGGAACACCAGUGGCGAAGGCGGCUCUCUGGUCUGUAACUGACGCUGAGGCGCGAAAGCGUGGGGAGCAAACAGGAUUAGAUACCCUGGUAGUCCACGCCGUAAACGAUGAGUGCUAAGUGUUAGAGGGUUUCCGCCCUUUAGUGCUGCAGCUAACGCAUUAAGCACUCCGCCUGGGGAGUACGGCCGCAAGGCUGAAACUCAAAGGAAUUGACGGGGGCCCGCACAAGCGGUGGAGCAUGUGGUUUAAUUCGAAGCAACGCGAAGAACCUUACCAGGUCUUGACAUCCUCUGACCUCCCUGGAGACAGGGCCUUCUCCUUCGGGGGACAGAGUGACAGGUGGUGCAUGGUUGUCGUCAGCUCGUGUCGUGAGAUG
rnacentral:rRNA from 1 species